CAGUCGCCGCGGUAAUACGAAGGGUGCAAGCGUUAAUCGGAAUUACUGGGCGUAAAGCGUGCGUAGGCGGUUUGUUAAGUCUGUUGUGAAAUCCCCGGGCUCAACCUGGGAAUGGCAAUGGAUACUGGCAAGCUAGAGUGUGUCAGAGGAUGGUGGAAUUCCCGGUGUAGCGGUGAAAUGCGUAGAGAUCGGGAGGAACAUCAGUAGCGAAGGCGGCCAUCUGGGACAACACUGACGCUGAGGCACGAAAGCGUGGGGAGCAAACAGGAUUAGAUACCCCCGUAGUCCCUGUCUCUUAUAC
rnacentral:rRNA from 1 species